rnacentral:rRNA from 1 species
GCCCAGUGAAAACUUAAACGGCCGCGGUACCCUGACCGUGCAAAGGUAGCAUAAUAACUCGCCUCCUAACUAGAGGCUGGAAUCAACGAACACACGUGAGCUAAGCUGUCUCUAUAGAACACAAAAAACUUAACCUUCAAGUGAAAAGGCUUGAAUUCCCCUAAUAGACAAGAAGACCCUAUCGAGCUUUAUUAUAAGUUAGCAAAAUGAGCAAUAAAUUCACCCGUUUUUAUCUAAUCUCUAAUUUAGUUGGGGCAACCAAGGAACACCAAAAACUUCCUCUUAUCUAUUUAAAAACCCACGACCCAAUACAUUUGAUCAAAGGAAUAAGCUACCGUAGGGAUAACAGGUUAAUUUUUUUCGAGAGUCCACAUUGACAAAAAAGUUUGACACCUCGAUGUUGGCUUAGGUUAUCCUUUUAGUGCAGAAGCUAAAAAAAGGUGGGUUUGUUCAACCCAUAAAAAAACCUACGUGAUCUGAGUUCAAGACC